UACGAAGGGGGCUAGCGUUGUUCGGAAUCACUGGGCGUAAAGCGCACGUAGGCGGAUGUGUCAGUCAGGGGUGAAAUCCCGGAGCUCAACUCCGGAACUGCCUCUGAUACAGCACGUCUUGAGUUCGAGAGAGGUGGGUGGAAUUCCUAGUGUAGAGGUGAAAUUCGUAGAUAUUAGGAAGAACACCGGUGGCGAAGGCGGCCCACUGGCCCGGUACUGACGCUGAGGUGCGAAAGCGUGGGGAGCAAACAGG
rnacentral:rRNA from 1 species